rnacentral:rRNA from 1 species
UUUAUGGAGAGUUUGAUCCUGGCUCAGGAUGAACGCUGGCGGCGUGCCUAAUACAUGCAAGUCGAGCGAACGGACGAGAAGCUUGCUUCUCUGAUGUUAGCGGCGGACGGGUGAGUAACACGUGGAUAACCUACCUAUAAGACUGGGAUAACUUCGGGAAACCGGAGCUAAUACCGGAUAAUAUUUUGAACCGCAUGGUUCAAAAGUGAAAGACGGUCUUGCUGUCACUUAUAGAUGGAUCCGCGCUGCAUUAGCUAGUUGGUAAGGUAAC